rnacentral:rRNA from 1 species
ACGGGGUGCAGCAGGCGCGAAAACUUGUCAAUGCACGAAAGUGUGAACGGGCUGCCCCGAGUGCCGUCCGCUGAGGAUGGCUUUUCUCUGCUGUAAGAAGGCGGAGGAAUAAGGAGAGGGCAAGUCUGGUGUCAGCCGCCGCGGUAAUACCAGCUCUCCGAGUGGUAGGGAUGAUUAUUGGGCCUAAAGCGUUCGUAGCCGGCCUUCCAAGUCUUUCGUUAAAUCCAGCGAUUCAAUCGUUGGACUGCGGGAGAUACUGUUAGGCUAGGGGGCGGGAGAAGCCGACGGUAUUCUUGGGGUAGGGGUAAAAUCCUAUAAUCCCAGGAAGACCACCAGUGGCGUAGGCGGUCGGCUAGCACGCGCUCGACGGUGAGGGACGAAAGCUGGGGGAGCAAACCGGAUUAGAUACCCGGGUAGUCCCAGCUGUAAACGAUGCGGGCUAGGCGUUGAAGCGGCUACGAGCCGCUUCAGUGCCGCAGGGAAGCCAUUAAGCCCGCCGCCUGGGGAGUACGGUCGCAAGGCUGAAACUUAAAGGAAUUGGCGGGGGAGCAC